rnacentral:rRNA from 1 species
AUUAAAAAGUAAAACCUUGGUUAUUAGUAGUUAAGGUCUUGAAAACUAAGAAAGAUGGCGGUAUCUUAGUCUAUUUAGAGGAAUCUGCCCUGUAAUUGAUAUUCCACGAGUUAAUUUACUUGAGAUUUUAGUUUAUAUAUCGCUGUAGGUUGAAUAUUUCUGUAGGAUUAAAAUAUUCAUGAUUUUGGGAGAAAGUAAAUCAAGUCAAGAUGUAGCGUAUUCUUAAGAAGAGGUGGAUUACAUUAAUUUUAUUUGUGGUUAGGCAUAUGAAAAAAUGUACUAUAAAAUGGAUUUGAUAGUAAUUUAUUAGUAAGAUUUAGUAAAUGAUUCUAGCUCUAGGAU